UGGCAAGAAGGUUUGCUGUGUCUGUCAGCGUAGUGUCCAGAGCAUGGAGGCGCUACCAGGAGACAGGCCAGUACAUCAGGAGACAUGGAGGAGGUCGUAGGAGGGCAACAACCCAGCAGCAGGACUGCUACCUUCACCUUUGUGCAAGGAGGAACAGGAGGAGCACUGCCAGAGCCCUGCAAAAUGACCUCCAGCAGGCCACAAAUGUGC